GUAGGGAAUAUUAGAAAUGGACGAAAGUCUGAUCUAGCAACACCGCGUGUGCGAAGAAGGCCUUUGGGUCGUAAAGCACUUUUUGGAAGGAAUAGGAAGGAAUGUACUUCCAGAAUAAGUCUCGGCUAACUACGUGCCAGCAGCCGCGGUAACACGUAGGAGGCAAACGUUAUCCGGAUUUACUGGGCGUAAAGCGCGUGUAGGUGGUACUGUAAGUAGGGCGUGAAAGCUCCUGGCUCAACUGGGAGAGGCCGUUCUAAACUACAGAACUAGAGGAUGGUAGAGGGAGGUGGAAUUCCAGGUGUAGCGGUGGAAUGCGCAGAUAUCUGGAGGAACACCGGUGGCGAAGGCGGCCUCCUGGACCAUUCCUGACACUCAGACGCGAAAGCUAGGGUAACAAACGG
rnacentral:rRNA from 1 species